UGGGGAAUUUUGCACAAUGGGGGAAACCCUGAUGCAGCGACGCCGCGUGCGGGAUGAAGGCCUUCGGGUUGUAAACCGCUUUUGAUUGGGAGCAAGCCUUUUGGGUGAGUGUACCUUUCGAAUAAGCGCCGGCUAACUACGUGCCAGCAGCCGCGGUAAUACGUAGGGCGCAAGCGUUAUCCGGAAUUAUUGGGCGUAAAGAGCUUGUAGGCGGUUCGUCGCGUCUGGUGUGAAAGCCCAUCGCUUAACGGUGGGUUUGCGCCGGGUACGGGCGGGCUAGAGUGCAGUAGGGGAGACUGGAAUUCCCGGUGUAACGGUGGAAUGUGUAGAUAUCGGGAAGAACACCAAUGGCGAAGGCAGGUCUCUGGGCUGUUACUGACGCUGAGAAGCGAAAGCGUGGGGAGCGAACAGG
rnacentral:rRNA from 1 species